UCGCGGCCCCGCCGGCUCAGGGGCGGCGCGCUUUCGGUGCGGACGGUGAAAACGUUGAAAGGUUCCUCUCCGGUUACCCCCGUCACGCCGUCGCGCCCUUGAUGUGAUGAUAGGCCCUGAACUUUGGAUGUGAGGAGCCGGUGCUGUUCUCAUUCCUGCGCACCGUACAGGCCACACCUGAAGCUUGUUUAGAGAGGCCUGGGUCCACGCCGCCUGCAGAACUCUCCACCUGGUUCGACAGCCUGACAACGCGGCUUGAACCUUGCAGCAGCCCAUAGGCCCCAUUGUUUCUCUUCCGGAGCUCAGCUGGAUGGAUCUCUUCAUUUUAGCCUGGGAGGCUUGUGACUAACAGCUGCCUUUUCUUAAAAAACUACCAGUCAUUAAGUGCCAUCGUCCAGAGGAAUUAAUUCUAGCCUCCGCAUCCCUUCAAACCUCUUCAAGCGCCCCUGCAUAAUUUUUUAUAUUACUAUAGUUUUCCCAUCAAAGACUUGGUAACUCUCAGGGGGACUGUGGACCACACUUUGGACAAUUAGUGUUGUACAACAUUUUUACUGGCUGCAGACUAUUAUGUUGUAUGGGUAAACAGUAUAUUUGGCCAAUGUUCUUUAUUGUUGGGCAUUUAAAUUGUUUCCAAGUUUCCUCCAUUACCAAUAAUCAUGUAGUUAAGACUUUGCUUGCAUUCUGAAUUAUUUUUCCAGGAUAAAGUCUUAAAAAAUGGAAUUGCUGACCAAAGAAUAUGCAUUUUUUUAAAGAGCUUUCUGAAUGUUGCCACAUUGCUUUCCAAGAGGUUUACCAAUUUACACUUGCAUUUUGCAUAAUAUGAUUAUCCUUCCAGGUUCUCACCAACGCUGAUUUUCUUUCUUUAAAAAACUUGCCAAAUUUACAAGCAAUAAAUGGUAUCACAUUUUG